rnacentral:lncRNA from 1 species
CAAUUGAUACAGCACUGAGACUAACAUGAAAGCCAACUGGAGUACUGAACCUGUCAACCACUGCCUUUCUGAUUUUUCCAACUCGAAUAGAAAUGUACAAUAAACCAUUAAUUUAUCGUUAUCGUAGAGUAUGUUGCCGUACGUACGUGUGUCUUUACAAGUAGAAGUAUGCAGAUAAUACGUGUUUUUUUACACUGGAAUGACACCAGCAAAGAACGUGUGUUGGACGAUGAAUAAUGUAUACGCUUAUUCGUGUAUAUCUAUAUGAAUGUGAACUGUGGAGCUUGACGAGAGAGGGCAACCAAUUUCACUGAUUAUAUCGGUGGCUGAUAGAUGCGAAAAAAAAAAACUA